GACAGAGGGUGCAAACGUUGUUCGGAAUUACUGGGCGUAAAGCGCGUGUAGGCGGCUCUGCAAGUCGGAUGUGAAAGCCCUCGGCUCAACCGAGGAAGUGCACCCGAAACUGCAGAGCUAGAGUCUCGGAGAGGAUCGUGGAAUUCUCGGUGUAGAGGUGAAAUUCGCAGAUAUCAGGAGGAACACCAAUGGCGAAGGCAGCUCGCUGGAACGGAACUGACGCUGAGGCGCGAAAGCGUGGGGAGCGAACAGG
rnacentral:rRNA from 1 species